CCGUUAUACAGAAAAUGAUGGGGACGAUGAUGAUGACGACGAUGAUGGAGGAGAUGUGGCGCCAGCAGCAUAGUUAUCAUAGAUUCAUAGUGUUUAUGAAUAAGAGUGGCUUAAGCUUUGAUACUUUCAUCAACUUGAGCUGAACGAACAUUUGGUAAUAUAUAUAUAUAUAUAUAUAUAUAGUAAAGAAUCAGCUGCAUAUUAUGAAUUUAUAUUCAUAGGGCAACUAUUUUGUAGCAUAUACAAUAAUAUUAGAAGGUGUAUGCAUGUAAUUUAAAUAAGCAAAAGAUACCUCCGGUGUGCUUAUAUAUAGUCAUACGCACCAGAGGCAUCUGAGAAAAAAGAAGCAGAAGAAGAAGAAGAAGAAUUCAGGUGUCUAUGUUUUACAGCUUCUUUUUAUUUUGCAAAGGGCCGGAAAGAGAAAAAUAUUACUUGUAUAUGAUUACUGAGAUCAUGUGUAUGGCAGCUGCUACAAUAUUAAACUUUAAUAAUAAUUAGUGAUAUAUUCGGAUUACGUAAUAUCAAUCUCUCUCUCCCUCUCUCCCUCUCUCCCUCUCUCCCUGUCUAUUAAUUAUGUCUAUCUCCCUGUAAGUCCAUCCAUUAAUAUAUCAUGGCAAUUGAAGAACAUGGAAACAUAUCUUUUAAAGGAUUUCUUUAUAGAGUUAAUUAUCUUCUUGAUCAUUUCAAUUUCCCCCUUUCUGUUUUGUAUUAUGCUCAAGCAUGGCUUUAUGUUAAUUCAUAUUCCAUUACUAUAGCUGAGCAUAAAAUCCGUGAACUGAGUUUAGAAAAUGUAAGUACUGUGUUUUUUCCUUCUUAAUUAUAUUUGGUUGUCUUGACUGCUAGGGUUUUUCUGAUUUCUUGGGUUUAUUUUUCUUGAAAUAGUUUGAAAUAUGUGAGGUUUGGUGCUUGAUAGACUCAGGUUCACUUGUUUUGCAGCCAACAUUAUUCGCUACCUUUUGUUACAUUAAGUUCAUUUUGAAACUUGAGAUAAAUAAGGUAUCGAUUUUUUUUUGGUGGAGAAUUGCUGAAAUUUUAAUUAGAGGGUUGUGAAUCUGUGAUCAUAACUUUAGCUUCGAGAACAAUGGCUAGAUGAGCUUGAGUACGUUUAUUUCUUUAUACAAAGUGUUUCUCUACACUUUGCCAUAUAGGCUAGCUGGGAAUAUUGAAAACAAUUGUGGAAGAAAGUGCUUGCCUUGCUUUGCUUUUGUCUGCACCAAAAGGGUAAUGAAAUUUUCUUCCUUUUAUGACUGCAUAGCUGCAUAUAGUUGCAUAGCCUGGUCCUUUUUUAUUUAUUCUGAAAUUCGUUGAAUGUAUGCAUAUUUUGUGUUUGGUCGCACACUUGUACUAAUAAUAUGCUAAGGUGCAGCUUGUUAUGCUCGUUCUUUUCAACUAUUCUGUGAGCCCGAUAAAUAAUAGUUCAUUAUUUGUUGCUUCACUAUGCCAAUAUUGCUUGAGGUGAGUUACCUCAAGCAAGAGCAUGAUCUUGGACUGCAAAUUUUCGUGGUUAUUGAAAAUGGAUUUUAAUUAUGGCAAAUUUUUAAGUAACCUUCGUUUUGGAAAAGUUUUGUGCUGACAGGUUUUAUAAAGUUAAGUUUGUAGGUCAUUUUAGACCAUUAAAUAGACAUAACAAGAUCUAAAUUGCUGUUAUGUGUGAAGAUUUAUGUCUCCAAAUUUCUGUUAUGUGAAGAUUCAUGCGAUAGGAUUAGUGAGCUGCCAAGAAAUACCAUUGUCAUUCAGGCUCAGAAAGCAGAGAGGGAUGCUACAGAUUUAUAAACUUAGAGUUUGGUAAAAAGUGGGAGAAGGGAAAUAGCACAUACACCCAACAACAACUUGAUGAACUGAGAAAUGAAUGGGUAGAAUUUGCGAGUCAUCGCAUAUGUAUUAGCUAUGUAGUUACCUAGUCAAUAUUUUGUGAAUUUUGGCUAUGAAUAGUUAGCCCUAGUCACUAUUUUGUGAAUUUUGGCUAUGGAUAUUAGCCUACCUAUAUGUAGUCAUCAGGAGUAACGGUAUAUGUUGUACAAAUGUGGUAGGGUUUUGAACUAUGACAGAAUUGUUAAAGUAAGAUGUAUCUUAAGCUUUUAU